rnacentral:lncRNA from 10 species
GGUGGAUCUUAUCAAUUCACUCAACAAAUAUUUGCUGAACUCCCAUCUGGGCUGGCUCUGCCUGUGAGGCUAGGAACGUCAAAAGGAACCCAGGCAGCCAACCCUCCAGGACCUUGGGGUGGUGUGAAGGCCCCAGAUUUCUGAAAGUGGAACAAAGCCAGACCCUGUGGCCGCCACCUUCUGGCCAACCUCAGAUGGAGCCUUCCAGACACAUCAACUCCCAGGGCUGUGGAAAGAAAAGGCAGAGGCAGUGAAGUGGCAUCGUUUGGGGAAAUACCCAAGGAUCGUUGUCUUGACCUAAGGAAAAUGAAGACGCAGACGCACGAGGAGUCAGAAAGUUGGGGCCGGGCGCGGUGGCUCACUGGAGUCUCUACCUGGCCGGUGCCAUGACACCUGCACACGUGGCAACAAAGAAAAGGGAAGAGAAAG